UUUACUUUAUUUAAAACAACCUUUUAAAAUAUUUUUUGCAACUUCAGACCACAUUAAAAAAAAAAAAAUUCAAAAGACAACCCAAUGCAAGUUUCCGGCGUUGACUAAAUCUUUUCCGAUGUUGACUACGCAUGUGCAAGACACGUGCCUCAUAUAUUACUUAAUACACCCAAUUUUCCUCCAAUUAACUCCAAUAAAAACCCCUGCUUCUCUCUCCUUCCUCUUUGUCGUUCAAUUGGAAAAAAAAUUGCAGAACAAAUUCCUCUAAAGCUGUUUGAAUAUGGGAUUUCAAGGUGUCAACCAAGCAUUUCAUCAAUUUCAAACCAGGACGGAAAUUCUACGCUUGUAAGUUCUACAAACAUGAAACCGGUCAAAGGGGAUGCAACACGUUUGAGUGGCUUGAUGAAGACAUUCUUGACUAGCAAAGGGUUGUCACUAAUGUCUUGAUUGCAGAAAGGAGCAAGUAAGCCACUGAUUUAAGCAUUUUGAAGGCCAAACUUAUCACUAACAGAGCAUGAGAAGCAAAGGUUGUAUGAAGAAUCGGACAAAGUAAAGAAGAAAAUGCUCAAGAAAAAUGAUUGACCCUCAAUUUGCUAGAAGAUGACAGAGCUUUCUUCUUCCCUUUAUAUCUGACCAUGGCAGCAAAUGGCAAUUAAAAAAAAAAAAGAAAAAGAAAAAAAAAAAGAAAA